rnacentral:rRNA from 1 species
AAACGUGUAGCGCGAGCGCGACACGGGGAGCUUGAGUGUCUUGGCAUAGCCAUGACUUUUCUCAUUCCUAAAAAGCAUGAGGAAUAAGUGCUGGGUAAGACGGGUGCCAGCCGCCGCGGUAACACCCGCAGCACGAGUAGUGGUCACUUUUAUUGAGCCUAAAGCGUUCGUAGCCGGUUUUGUAAAUCUUCGGAUAAAGCCUGAAGCUUAACUCCAGAAAGUCUGAAGAGACUGCAAGACUUGAGAUCGGGUGAGGUUAAACGUACUUUUAGGGUAGGGGUAAAAUCCUGUAAUCCCGGAAGGACGACCAGUGGCGAAAGCGUUUAACUAGAACGAAUCCGAAGGUAAGAAACGAAGGCUAGGGUAGCAAACCGGAUUAGACACCGGGUAGUCCUAGCUGUAAACAUUGCCCAUUUGAUGUUGCUUUUCCGUUGAGGGAAGGCAGUGUCGGAGCGAAGGUGUUAAAUGGGCCGCUUGGGAAGUAUGGUCGCAAGACUGAAA